rnacentral:rRNA from 1 species
GACAGAGGAGCCAAGCGUUGUCCGGAUUGACUGGGCGUAAAGCGCACGCAGGCGGCCGUGCACGUGGGGUGUGAAAGCUGGCGGCUUAACUGCCAGACGCCACCUCAUACGGCACGGCUCGAGCCCGUGAGAGGUCCACGGAAUUGCCGGUGUAGUGGUGAAAUGCGUAGAUAUCAGGAGGAACACCCGCGGUGGAGACCGCUUUCUUGACCAUUGCUGACGCUGAGACCCGAAAGCGUGGGUAGCAAACAGG